rnacentral:ncRNA from 1 species
UGAAAAGCUUUGAAUGGGAAGAGUAUGUGAUUAAGACUGUAAGAGAGAGGAAUCCAUCGGCUGUAAGAUUCCUUCAGUAACCGUAAUCGCAGAAGGUCGCCCGGGAGCUGUUUCCGUGAACGUCAAUAGUAGCGGAUAACCGGUGAAGAGCCGUUAACGAAAUGAAGUGCCGAUAUAACAGUUAUUUGUAUUGGAACAAAGGUGGUACCGCGAGACAUACCGUUUCGUCCUUUUU